rnacentral:misc_RNA from 1 species
AGAUGAUCAGUCGGCCUUUCCAAUCUUUAACAGAGGAUUUAGAUUUUUGAUACACUAUUAAUUACAACAUAAAUAAUGUUGGCUAGCUAUUUGCAGGUAAAGCUUCUAAGAUGUGUGCCUUAUUUUCUAUAUUCUAGCAGUCUUGGGUCUUGAGUACAUAUCAUUGGCCUGGUUUUGGUCAUGCAUGCUCAGUUUGAUUCAGGGCAAACAUAAGUCACAGUUGCCUACAUGGUCAACUAAGAAAAGGUCAUCUGCCUUCCCUUCUGUCCUUCCUCCAUUCCCAUGGCUU